rnacentral:rRNA from 1 species
ACGAACGCUGGCGGCACGCUUAACACAUGCAAGUCGAACGAGAGAAGAGGAGCUUGCUUUUCUGAUCUAGUGGCGGACGGGUGAGUAACACGUGAGCAAUCUGCCUUUCAGAGGGGGAUACCGAUUGGAAACGAUCGUUAAUACCGCAUAACAUAAUUGAACCGCAUGAUUUGAUUAUCAAAGAUUUAUCGCUGAAAGAUGAGCUCGCGUCUGAUUAGCUAGUUGGUAAGGUAACGGCUUACCAAGGCGACGAUCAGUAGCCGGACUGAGAGGUUGAUCGGCCACAUUGGGACUGAGACACGGCCCAGACUCCUACGGGAGGCAGCAGUGGGGAAUAUUGCACAAUGGAGGAAACUCUGAUGCAGCGAUGCCGCGUGAGGGAAGAAGGUUUUAGGAUUGUAAACCUCUGUCUUCAGGGACGAAAAAAGACGGUACCUGAGGAGGAAGCUCCGGCUAACUACGUGCCAGCAGCCGCGGUAAUACGUAGGGAGCGAGCGUUGUCCGGAAUUACUGGGUGUAAAGGGAACGUAGGCGGGAUCGCAAGUCAGAUGUGAAAACUAUGGGCUUAACCCAUAAACUGCAUUUGAAACUGUGGUUCUUGAGUGAAGUAGAGGUAAGCGGAAUUCCUAGUGUAGCGGUGAAAUGCGUAGAUAUUAGGAGGAACAUCAGUGGCGAAGGCGGCUUACUGGGCUUUAACUGACGCUGAGGCUCGAAAGCGUGGGGAGCAAACAGGAUUAGAUACCCUGGUAGUCCACGCCGUAAACGAUGAUUACUAGGUGUGGGGGGACUGACCCCUUCCGUGCCGCAGCAAACGCAAUAAGUAAUCCACCUGGGGAGUACGACCGCAAGGUUGAAACUCAAAGGAAUUGACGGGGGCCCGCACAAGCAGUGGAGUAUGUGGAUUAAUUCGAAGCAACGCGAAGAACCUUACCAGGUCUUGACAUCGUAUGCAUAGCUCAGAGAUGAGUGAAAUCUCUUCGGAGACAUAUAGACAGGUGGUGCAUGGUUGUCGUCAGCUCGUGUCGUGAGAUGUUGGGUUAAGUCCCGCAACGAGCGCAACCCUUACUGUUAGUUGCUACGCAAGAGCACUCUAGCAGGACUGCCGUUGACAAAACGGAGGAAGGUGGGGAUGACGUCAAAUCAUCAUGCCCCUUAUGACCUGGGCCUCACACGUACUACAAUGGCUGUCAACAGAGGGAAGCAAAGCCGCGAGGUGGAGCAAACCCCUAAAAGCAGUCUUAGUUCGGAUUGUAGGCUGCAACCCGCCUACAUGAAGUCGGAAUUGCUGGUAAUCGCAGAUCAGCAUGCUGCGGUGAAUACGUUCCCGGGCCUUGUACACACCGCCCGUCACGCCAUGGGAGUCGGUAACACCCGAAGCCUGUAGUCUAACCGCAAGGAGGACGCAGUCGAAGGUGGGAUUGAUGACUGGGGUG